GCCCGGGUCGGGAAUCCCCGAGGCUGCUGCGCCUGCGCACGGCCGCGCGGGGCCGAUUUUCGCGCUCCCAACGCCCUCCCUCUGGAUCUGGCAGGGCUGAGGGGCAGGAGGACCGCACUGUCCGGACGGCGUGACGGGGGAAGCGACUCGCGAACAGUGAGAUAAAACUGUUGCUGCUUGCUCCAAGGGCCAGGGAAGGCGGGACUGGCCUUUGCCCUCUGCCUUUCCCCACGUGACGUCUCCAGGCUUCCCCAGCCAGUGCUCUCUGGGGCCUCAAGUCAACAGAAGAAUAACCCGAGUGCAGCUGAUUGAAGAGACAAAACUCACUUGUGUGCACUUCUAAAAAUCAGUCAGAUAAUAAUCAAAAUAGUUAUCCCUGACAAAAUGUCAUGUUAAAAAAAAUUCCACCAGCUAUCAUACAAUAUAUACAAUUAUUUGUUAAUAUAUACAAGGGUUAUUUGUUAAUGUAGAAUAUAAAGAAAAUGUCCAUGGCACUUAAAAAAAAAUUACAGCAGGAGAAUGGAGUAGGGAAUAAAUAUUGGCAGAAGAAUCACCUGACUUAACAGUCAUCACACCAAAAUAAAGGGGGUCAUGACUAAAUGUGUGUGUGUGUAAUCACAUAGGAAGAGAAGGCCAUAGUAAUGCAAAGCAAUAAAUACAUAUUUACAUAUGUAUAAAUGUUUUGUGUAUAUAUAGUAUACACAAAGCAAUAAUAUAUAUUCUACAUAUGCUACUGUGAUCCUCUCUUUCCAUUUGAAAAUAAGGAUAACUUACUGCCUUUAUAGAAAUUAGGAAAACAUUUCUUGGCCCCUGAUAAAGGCAAGACAUGUUCUAAGGUGUGUUUGAGAAAGAAAGAAGCAAGCCACUUAGAUAUAAAUAGUACAAAAUACCACAUCAAAGCAAGGAAAGGCUGCACAUUAAUUCUGAGACAACAAGCAAAAGUUGAAAUCCCGCCAGUAGAAAAGGCCCCAGUGGAGGUGUGAGAGAACCAAAGGAGCAAUUAUGAAUAAAGCUGCUAGAAACAUC